GUGGGGAAUAUUGGGCAAUGGGCGAAAGCCUGACCCAGCAACGCCGAGUGAAGGAAGAAGGCUUUCGGGUUGUAAACUUCUUUUGUCAGGGACGAAAAAAAUGACGGUACCUGACGAAUAAGCCACGGCUAACUACGUGCCAGCAGCCGCGGUAAUACGUAGGUGGCAAGCGUUAUCCGGAUUUACUGGGUGUAAAGGGCGUGUAGGCGGGAAAGCAAGUCAGAUGUGAAAACUAUGGGCUCAACUCAUAGCCUGCAUUUGAAACUGUUUUUCUUGAGUACUGGAGAGGCAGAUGGAAUUCCUAGUGUAGCGGUGAAAUGCGUAGAUAUUAGGAGGAACACCAGUGGCGAAGGCGAUCUGCUGGACAGCAACUGACGCUGAGGCGCGAAAGCGUGGGGAGCAAACAGGAUUAGAAACCCUUGUAGUCC
rnacentral:rRNA from 1 species